rnacentral:rRNA from 1 species
UACGUAGGUGGCAAGCGUUAUCCGGAAUUACUGGGCGUAAAGCGCACGCAGGCGGUCUUUUAAGUUUGACGUGAAAGCUCCCGGCUUAACUGGGAGAGGUCGUUGAAUACUGGAAGACUUGAGGCAAUGAGAGGGGUGUAGAAUUCCCGGUGUAGUGGUGGAAUGCGUAGAUAUCAGGGGGAAUACCAGUGGCGAAAGCGGCACCCUAGCGUUAGCCUGACGCUCAUGUGCGAAAGCGUGGGGAGCAAACGGG